rnacentral:rRNA from 2 species
GAAGGUGACUCCAGCGCAGGGGUUCCACCCGUUCCCAUCCCGAACACGGACGUUAAGCCCUGCAGCGCCGAUGGUACUGCACACGCGGUAGAGUAGGUCGUCGCCUUCU